rfam:Talaromyces marneffei PM1 scf037, whole genome shotgun sequence.
GGACGUGUAACUCAGUGGUAGAGUGUGCGAUUGCAGCUGUCAAGUUUCAUCAUCGCAGUGUCGCCGGUUCGAUCCCGGUCACGUCCU